rnacentral:rRNA from 1 species
UUGGGAAUAUUGGGCAAUGGGCGCAAGCCUGACCCAGCAACGCCGCGUGAAGGAUGAAGGCUUUCGGGUUGUAAACUUCUUUUAUCAGGGACGAAUUCUGACGGUACCUGAUGAAUAAGCCACGGCUAACUACGUGCCAGCAGCCGCGGUAAUACGUAGGUGGCAAGCGUUAUCCGGAUUUACUGGGUGUAAAGGGCGUGUAGGCGGGACUGCAAGUCAGGUGUGAAAACCACGGGCUCAACCUGUGGCCUGCAUUUGAAACUGUAGUUCUUGAGUGCUGGAGAGGCAAUCGGAAUUCCGUGUGUAGCGGUGAAAUGCGUAGAUAUACGGAGGAACACCAGUGGCGAAGGCGGAUUGCUGGACAGUAACUGACGCUGAGGCGCGAAAGCGUGGGGAGCAAACAGGAUUAGAUACC